ACGUUCUUUAUGUCCCAAAUUUGA
rnacentral:siRNA from 1 species